rnacentral:rRNA from 1 species
CACAUCAGCUCGAGUGAGAAUACGCGCUAAACUUAAGCAUAUCAGUCAGCGCACGUAAUAAUAGAAACUAACCAGGAUUCCCUUAGUAACGGCGAGUGAACUGGGAUGCCAAUAUAAAAUAUGUACCUCGCGUGCAUAAAUUAGCCCGUCGAUACUAUCCUAGCGUAUGUACCGGUCUUCGGGUCGGUACUCAAAUACGCGGGAAUUGUAGCAUCGUAAUAAAAUAUACAGCACGCACACACACACACUGCCAACAUGCGUACCACUUGUAAACACACAGCGUCUCCGCGUUGAAGCAAGUUAUAUCCUCUUGGAUAUGCCAUAGAGUGUGACAGCCACGUUUCACCCUUAGUACGCACACACACAUACACACGGCUCGUGCGAGUGCAAUACGUAUAUAUUCUAUAACCUGAGUCGAGUUAUUUGGGACUAUAGCUCUAAUAGUUUGGUUGGUGGUAAUGACACAUCAAAGGCUAAAUAUUGGUUAGUCGAUGCAUAUUGCGGAGACCGAUAGCAUACAAGUACCGUAAGGAACGAUGAAAAGCACCCUAUUGAGUUCACGGCGCAGACUCUGAUACUUCUGUAUCUUGUCCAGCGCCAACAACUACAGUGGGAGUGAAAGAGAGAGUGAAAUCGCCUAUAUAUAUAACAUAUGCACUACACACAGUAACUGCAUGCAGUCAGCGUUAGUACAAUCGGACAGAGUGUCGUAUAUAACAUAUGGCCGCCUAAUACAUAUCCAUACAAUGUAUUAUGGCCUGGCCCAUAGUGGGUUCGCCCGCUAUACGCGACACGACUGUACGACCCGUUUUGAAACACGGACCAAGGAGUUCAACUGGAUUACGAGUCGUCGAGCAUAUAUAUUUUCCAAUAUUUAUACUCACACGGCAUAGCGAAAGCAACCUUAAUCCUUUAUACAGUGCUAGGUCGGCCGUCAAAAGCUCGACCGCAGCACGCGCUGAGUGAGUAUAUACGUGCGGACCUCCGCGUCAACGCGUAUACCUGCGUUUAUUCACAGGAUCACUCAAGCGUUCAACGAGUAUAUCUUGUUGAGACCCGAAAGAUGGUGAACUAUGCUCGGAUAUGGCGAAGUCAGGUGAAAACUUGAUGGAAGCUUGCGUUGUGCGGAACUGACGUGCAAAUCGUUACCGCCUAACCUGAGUAUAGGGGCGAAAGACUCAUCGAACCAUCUAGUAGCUGGUUCCCUCCGAAGUUUCCCUCAGGAUAGCUCAGUGCAAUAAAAAAAAUCCAAUGGCGUAGCACAAAGGGUAAAGCAAUGAUACGCGGUAUCUGUGGGUCUUAUUUAAAUGACCUCGGCCUUCUCUCAAACUUUAAAUCUGUGCGUAACUAUUAUUUAUAGCGUGUACCUAAUACUUAUUGUGGACACAGCAAUAUAAUAGCAAUGACUCGUAGUGGGCCAUUUCUGGUAAGCAGAACUGGCGAUGAGGGAUUCAACCUGACGUUUUAAAGAUAAGCGGGCUUAAUCAUAUCUGCUCUAACCUUCCGAUAAACGCGAAAGGGUAUUCCAUGUGGUGUAGACAGCAGGACGGUGGCCAUGGAAGUUGGAAUCCGCUAAGGAGUGCGUAAC